UCAUAGAAAAAUCAAAAUUCUUGUAAGUAAAUAAGGGCGUCCCUUCCAAAUUCCCAUAGAGGGGAUUACAGUCCCAAACCCUAACCAGCCGACUUUUACCUCCGGAUUGGAAACGAUGAUGCUUGCAUGCUGUGGCAUUGGUGUUCUACUGAAAUAAGCAAUAUUUAGCAUCCUGGGGUUGCAAAAUAGUGUCUUUAUUGAAAUUUAAAGCCCUUUUGCUAUCAAUUUCAGGCAGCCAUGGAUGGAAAUGGCGGUAUGAAUAUACGGAAUUGGAGCUAUUUUGAGCCAACACCAACUGUUCCGAAGGGCCAUUUGGGCCUGCAACUCAUGUCCUCGAUGAAUGAAAAGCCCCCCCAUUUUCGCAACAUUCACGAUAAUCACCACCAACAACAACAAACCCACCAACCUGACCAUCCUACAGUUAUGGCGUCGACUAAUGGUGGUGCAUUUCAUCAUCAUCGAGUUUGUGGGCUCUCAGAGUCUCCCAUGCCCAUGGAGUACAUGAGGGAUUCGUGGGUUAAUCAAAAAGACUAUAGAGAGAAGUAUCUCAAUGUGCUAUCUGCAAACCACCCUUAUCUUCCAGGUUAUGGGUUUUUGCCUGAGACAUCUUCCGCUCAGUCUAUGCAGAUGCACCAGCAGCCGAACUUGGUGAAAGUUGAAACUGCUCCUCUGGUGGAAGAGGUUUGCCAAGAAAGGGAUAAUAUAGGUGGGCUUGCUAAGAAGAGGGAAGCUGGUCAAUCCCAAGUGCUGAAGUCCCCUAAACCUAAGAAGGCAAAGAAAGCUACUAGGGCUCCUAAAGACGAGUCUACCCCAUCUCUUCCACGGGCAAGAGCUCCCAGGAAAAGUGCAGAAGUCAUCAUUAACGGUAUUAAUAUGGAUAUUUCGGUAAUUCCCAUACCAAUCUGCUCAUGCACUGGGGCUGCUCAGCAGUGUUAUAGGUGGGGCUGUGGUGGGUGGCAAUCAGCUUGCUGUACCACUAAUUUGUCUUCAUAUCCCUUGCCUAUGAAUGUAAAACGGCGUGGUUCAAGGAUAGCAGGUCGGAAGAUGAGUCUGGGAGCGUUUAAAAAGGUACUAGAGAAACUGGCUUCAGAAGGAUAUAACUUUUCUAAUCCAAUUGAUCUGAAGCCACACUGGGCAAGGCAUGGUACAAACAAGUUUGUCAUUAUCAGAUAGAUGUAUGGUGGAUAUGCUAGCAGUUGUCCUUAAAAUAGGUAUGAUGCAUUUCUGGUGUACAUAGUUGACUAUGGGUUGGACUGAGGCUUGUCAGGUAGUUUCUAACCAGUGAAAUUCAAGCAUUGCAGCACUCCUUCAGAUUUUGUCCUGUGGGAUUUUCUUUAUUUUCUUUCAGUUUACCUUUGUAGUUCUCGCAGAUAGCACACUUAUGGUAGUGGCAGAUUAUGAAAGUUGCAGAGGAGAUGCUGUCUUCCUAUGAGGGAAUACCAUCUAUUUGAUCAACCAAAUGGCUAAGUCCUGCACUACUCUGGUUGAAUGUUAUCAAACCUGGGUUCUGGCUGGCCUGUCAUUUUAAGGACUGUUAUCUUAAUUGGUUGAUGUUCUUUUCGAAUGGGAAGUUCCUUCAAUGCAUGUGUCAAUUUCAUCAAGCAGAGUGACUUGUAUUGUCUCUCCACUGUCUGAGGUGUAGAUUGUGAUGGUAAUUGUUUUUUAACAAGUUGUUAUUGAGCCCUAACAAAUAUGAGGAUGUGUUUUGACUGACCGAUAAAUUAGCAUAAUUCCUGUUCUUGUUUUGA